CUGGGCUUCGUUCCGCGCUGAGUAGAGACCGGUGAUUGAGAUCUUCCCUGUCGUUUAGAAGAGGAUACGUCUAAGCCACUGAGAUAUUGUUAAUUGGCGAAGACAGAUGCAGAGAGGAGCUCAGACAGAAGGAGCUGAGAUUUUCUAUUCCUCAUCUGAAGGUGCCUGGGUUCCAGGAGAUCCACCCCGGAAACCUGGCCAAUUAGCUGUCGAUGUCGCUCAAGAUCAAAACACCACCUAUAAAGAAACUAAUGCUGAGAGAAGUUAAAUAAUAUGCUCAAGGACAUACAAGUUAUAUGGCAGAGCUGGGAUUCCCUUCAGUAAUUCAACUUUAUGUCCUAAACCUUAAUCAUUAUGUUCCUGGAUACGCAAGACAUUCUGCAAGUACAAGAAACUAAACCCUGGUAGGAAAAGGUUAAGAUCUCAAGGAAGACAAGACUUGGGCCAAGGCAGAUUGAGGGGAGAUGUCAAUACUCAGAGAAACCACAGCCACAGAAUUAUAAGGACUUGAAGAUAUGACUUUGUAUGACAUUUACCUGGAUUUACCCUUCUGUCAAAGUGACUGCAGUGAUCUGAUUUCACAAAGAGAGACACUGCAGAAGAGAUUGGGAAGUGGAGGCAGUGAGAAUAAAACCACAUCUGAACAGCAUCUCCACCAUUACUUGAUAAAAACUUUUUCAGUCCAACAAUAAUUCCCAAAGGGAAACAUCAUCCAUACAACAAACAGCAGCUGAAAAGUCUGUUCUUGUGAGCUGUGUCGUCGUUUUAUCCUCUCCACACUUCUGCAUUUAGUUUGGUGCCAGGCAAAUUGUCUACCAAGACACUGAGCCAAUUAGGGGUAAGCUUUGUAGGAACAGCAAACCUGAAGAACGCCUCCUCACACAGGGUUACAUCUAAAGGGGGCUUUAGAUGACGUCUCAUUCGAGAAGAAUCCAUCUGGACAUCUUUUGCAAACUGUAUUUCGCUCUGGAGUUCCUACAGAAAACACCAAGCCAUUUAGCACAUUCUUCUCCAAUACUCUCACAACAGAUACCAUCUUCACAGAGUUUUGGUAAGACUUUUCACUUGGUUUUUACUGCUGCUAUUAAGUUGCACAAAAACUUUUGUGCAUUUUCAUUUUUCACUUCAUUAGACAGAACAAAACUUGUACAAUUAGCUCCUUCAGCAGUGUCCCCUCCUAGUAAUAUAAACACAAAUUUAAAUUUGUUCAGCUGGUACCUACAAAGCACAAAAUGUGAAAGGAAAGGAAAGCAGGGUAAGAUGUUCAAUUAGUCCUGCCUGCGCUGAAGUGGCAGUAAGAUCUUGUUGUCAACCAUAUUCUCCACACAGUUAUUCCCGGGAAAUCAUGAAGACAACUGCUGUGUAACUGCCGUAAUAUCACUCUUCAAAGUCAGUACCCACUGAAUGUCACAUCGUUAAAUUCCAAUUGGUUCCUACUGACGUUAUUUCUUUCCUGAAUCUUAAUUGUGAAGCAACUCAUAAGUAUGCUAACCUUGAGAAGUAAAAAUUUACAACAUGAUAAUAAACUUUUGAAGGUGGUCAUAAAGUUGGCCCUAAACUCAAAAGAGUAAGCCUGCAGUUACAUAGUAAAUGGGAGGUAAGAUACUAUUUACUUAAACUGUUGAGUUUUAGAAGAGCACAGUCAUUAAAAUCUCAGGGAAGGCUAACUGUCAGGGUAUUUUAUUUUGUGGUGGAAAGAUACUUGAUAAAUUUGGAGCUAUCAUUGGUGGGAACACUUGAACCAGUGAACAACUAAAGAUGCUAUUUAAAAUAAAUAUCUUCAAACCC
rnacentral:lncRNA from 9 species